rnacentral:lncRNA from 1 species
GGAAUUGCAGAAUAGAUCCAAUCAACUGUUUCUUCCUGAAGGCAAAGAGGUCUUAGGUUUUGGCCCAACGAUGUUACGAAGAGAAUGGUAACUUCUGAACAAAAGUGAAAAUGUUGGCUGAGGCACCCUUGCUGCUCAUCUGGUGAAAGAAUGCAAGUAUAAAGGGUUGCCAGGAAACGGUCUUUGCCUGAAGAUGAGACAACUGGUGGUGGUGGUGGUUCAGCCCCCCCUUGCAAGUGCACUACUGUUCAUGGGGUCAUCCAAGGGAUGGCAGAGACAACUAGGGCCAGACGAAGCUUGCUUUCACCCUAGAAGAGAAGAUCUCUCAGAGUUGGAGAUGGCAAUUUCCAGUCCUAAGAAAUGGAUUCUAACCUGUAGAUCCUACCCGCUCUCGAGGACUCUUGAAGUGCCCUGGUUCUGGCAGUGGGAAGAAGACCCUGUCCACACUAGUCCCCCUCAGUUGCACAGGGGGGGACCCCAGACAAGUUCUCAUGUAGGCAGCGCUUAUUCAGCUUCUCCCCUGAAAACUGGUUCUGAGCCUUGGGGGAAUCCCAGGGCUCUGCCUGCAGGCCGCCCAUCUCGGCAGUACCGUUUUCUUAAGCAUCAAGGCUUUUCCAGGGAUGUGGCCACAGGUGCUGGCUCUGCAUCUCUUCAGUGGAAUCCUGAUUCUGAGUCUUGGAGAGGUCACCUGGGUACAUUGGCUCUAUAUAUUUCAUGAGGGAGCUGCCAGGCUACACCCAGGAGGUCAACCCAGCCACUCUGCAGGCAUUUCUUAGGAAGCUGUUUAUUGCAGCAUUUCACACUAG